rnacentral:lncRNA from 1 species
UCUCUCUCUCUCUGGGCUCUGACCCCCAUUUACCCCCAGGCCGGGGCUGCUGCUUCCCGACAACCUGUUAUUGAUGGAGGCCCUGGAAGAUGCGCCUGAUCCCUUCUUCGGGGCGAUGGAACCACCGCUGCCCAGCCCCACUGACAUCCCACAGAUUCGACAUAUUCUGGAGGCUCCCACCCCACCAGAGAGACCAGCACCAUCCCCCCGGCGCAGGAGGGCAGGGCGAGCGCGAACUCCCAGAGAUCACGGCACGCGAGAUCGACCUGCUGGCCGAGCAGGAGGACCUUGUCCUGCCCCCUGCCCCCCCCAGGAGACGGCCCAUGGAAGAGCUGGAAGAGGAGAUGAGAGCUCGGGAGGCCGAGAUCACAGCCAGACUAUCACCCCCAACCCGGGUGGGUGAGGAGCCCCCAGCCGAGGUGGAGACCCCCAUCCUGCCCGAGGAGCUGGCCCGGCUGCUGAAGGAGGAGCUGCCCCCGCCCCCCGGUGCGUGUGGGGUAUGGGGGGGAGGGUCGAAGGGCCUGGGGGUCUCCAGCCUCUAACCCUUGCUCUGGGUUCUGCCCCACAGAGCUGAGCCCCCCGAGGGAGCCAGGGCUGCCACCCCCUCCCCCCUCCCCAGCUGUGACCCCAAGGGUGGAGCGCCCCCCAGUCAGCCCGAAGGUAAGUAGGGGGCCUGGGCCAGCCGAUGGCCUGUCCUGGGCAGGGCGCCCGUGACUCACCCGUGCCCCCCUGCGCCCCACAGCUGGAGCUGGCCGUGUACGAGCCGGCCCCACCGCGCGCCCCCCGGCGCCCGCCCCGCUUCCUGGACGAGGUGACCCAGAUCCCGCGGGACCAGUUCAACAAACAGAUCCUGGAUGUGCGGGCCCAGUGCCAGCCCCUGGUGAGUGCCAGCCCCCCGCUUGGAGUCCCGGUCCCCUGGUGAGUGCCAGCCCCCCGCUUGGAGUCCCGGUCCCCCGGUAAGUGCCAGCCCCCUGCUUGGAGUCCCGGCCCCCUGGCGAAUCCCAGGCCCCCUGGUAAGUGCCAGCCCCCCGCUUGGAGUCCCGGUCCUCUGGUAAGUGCCAGCCCCCUGCUUGGAGUCCCGGUCCCCUGGUGAGUGCCAGCCCCCCGCUUGGAGUCCCGGUCCCCCGGUAAGUGCCAGCCCCCUGCUUGGAGUCCCGGCCCCCUGGCGAAUCCCUGGCCCCCUGGUAAGUGCCAGCCCCCUGCUUGGAGUCCCGGCCCCCUGGCGAGUGCUGGCCCCCUGGCAAAUCCCAGGCCCCCUGGUAAGUGCCAGCCCCCUGCUUGGAGUCCCGGCCCCCUGGCGAGUGCUGGCCCCCUGGCGAAUCCCAGGCCCCCUGGUGAGUGCCAGCCCCCCGCUUGGAGUCCCGGUCCCCCGGUGAGUGCCAGCCCCCCGCUUGGAGUCCCAGCCCCCCGUCGAGUCCCAGUCCCCCCAGUUGGAGUCGCAGUCCCCCUGGUGAAUGCCAGCCCCCCAUUGAGUCCCAGUCCCCCUUGUGAGUUCCAGCCCCCUGUCGAGUCCCAGUCCCCCUGGUUGGAGUCCCAGUCCCCCCAGUUGGAGUCGCAGUCCCCCUGGUGAUUGCCAGCCCCCCAUUGAGUCCCAGUCCCCCUGGUGAGUUCCAGCCCCCCAUCGAGUCCCAGUCCCCCCAGUUGGAGUCCCAGUCCCCCCGGUGAGUGCCAGCCCCCCGUCAAGUCCCAGUCCCCCUGGUGAGUUCCAGCCCCCCGUCGAGUCCCAGUCCCCCCAGUUGGAGUCCCAGUCCCCCCAGUGAGUGCCAGCCCCCCGUCGAGUCCCAGUCCCCCAGUUGGAGUCCCAGUCCCCCUGGUGAGUCCCAGUCCCCCAUCGAGUCCCAGUCCCCCUGGUGAGUGUCAGCCACUCUGAGUCCCAGCCCCUGUGGUAAGUGCCGGCCCCUGGUGAGUGCCAGCCCCCCAGUUGGAGUCCCAGCCCCCUGGCGAGUGCCAGCCCCCGGUUGGAGUCCUGGCCCCCCGGUGAGUCCUGGCCCCUCGGCGAGUCCCGGCCCCCUGCUGAGUGCCAGCCCCACGGUUGGAGUCCUGAUUCCCCAGCGAGUGCCAGCCCCCCGGUGAGUCCCAGCCCCCCAGUGAGUGCCAGUCCCCCUGGUAAGUGACAGCCACCCUGAGUCCCAGCCCUCCGGCAAGUCUGAGCCCCCUGGUUGCAGUCCCAGCCCCCCGGCGAGUGCUGGCCCUCCGACGAGUCCCAGCCCCCCUGGUGAGUCCCAGCCCCCCAAUUGGAGUCCUGGCUGCCCGGCGAGUGCCAGUCUCCCUGGUGAAUGCCAGCCCCACAGUUGGAGUCCUGACCCACUGGCGAGUCCCAGACCCCCUGGCAAGUCCCGGCCCCCUGGUGAGUGCCAACCCCUCCGCUUGGAGUCCCGGCCCCCCAGCGAGUGCUGCCCCAGGCCAGCAAGUCCCACGCCCCCUGGCAAGUCCCAGUCCCCCUGGUGAGUGCCAGCACCCCAGUAGGAAUCCCAGUCCCCUGGCGAGUGCUGGCCCCCCUGAUGAGUCCCAGCCCCCCGGUGAGUGCCAGUCCCCCGUUGAGUCCCGGUCCCCCUGAUUGGAGUCCCAGUCCCCCUGGUGAGUGUCAGCCCCUAGUAAGUGCCAGCCACCCCAGGUCCCAGCCCCCCCUGUGAGUGCCAGCCCCCCAGAGUCCCAGCCCCCCGAGUGAGUGCCAGCCCCCCCGAGUCCCAGCUGCCCUCAGUGAGUGCCAUCCCCCCGAGUACCAGCCCCCCAGUGAGUGCCAGUCCCCCUGGUGAGUGCCAGCCCCCCCGAGUCCCAGCCCCCCUAGUGAGUGUCAGCCCUCGGGCACGAACCACUAACUCCCACUCUCCUCCCUGAACUGGGAGAGAACCCAGGCGUCCUGGCUCCCAGCCCCCACACUCC